AGAAAAUCCAGAAAAUGAAAAAUCUUCAGAUUUUUAUUCUUCAAGUUUAGAUAAUUUAAAGGAGAAGGCAAAAGGAGCAAAUCAUGAACUUUCUACUGUUUCAGAAAAUCCAGACAGUGAAAAAUCUUCAGAUUUUUGUUCUACAAGUCUAGAUCAUUCAAAGGAGAAAACAAAAGGAGAGAUACAUAAACUUUCUACUGUUUCAG